AUUGAACGCUGGCGGCAGGCCUAACACAUGCAAGUCGAACGGUAACAGGAAGCAGCUUGCUGCUUUGCUGACGAGUGGCGGACGGGUGAGUAAUGUCUGGGAAACUGCCUGAUGGAGGGGGAUAACUACUGGAAACGGUAGCUAAUACCGCAUAAUGUCGCAAGACCAAAGAGGGGGACCUUCGGGCCUCUUGCCAUCGGAUGUGCCCAGAUGGGAUUAGCUAGUAGGUGGGGUAAAGGCUCACCUAGGCGACGAUCCCUAGCUGGUCUGAGAGGAUGACCAGCCACACGGGAACUGAGACACGGUCCAGACUCCUACGGGAGGCAGCAGUGGGGAAUAUUGCACAAUGGGCGCAAGCCUGAUGCAGCCAUGCCGCGUGUAUGAAGAAGGCCUUCGGGUUGUAAAGUACUUUCAGCGGGGAGGAAGGGAGUAAAGUUAAUACCUUUGCUCAUUGACGUUACCCGCAGAAGAAGCACCGGCUAACUCCGUG
rnacentral:rRNA from 1 species